rnacentral:rRNA from 1 species
UGGGGAAUUUUGGACAAUGGGCGAAAGCCUGAUCCAGCAAUGCCGCGUGUGUGAAGAAGGCCUUCGGGUUGUAAAGCACUUUUGUCCGGAAAGAAAUCCUUGGCUCUAAUACAGUCGGGGGAUGACGGUACCGGAAGAAUAAGCACCGGCUAACUACGUGCCAGCAGCCGCGGUAAUACGUAGGGUGCAAGCGUUAAUCGGAAUUACUGGGCGUAAAGCGUGCGCAGGCGGUUUGCUAAGACCGAUGUGAAAUCCCCGGGCUCAACCUGGGAACUGCAUUGGUGACUGGCAGGCUAGAGUAUGGCAGAGGGGGGUAGAAUUCCACGUGUAGCAGUGAAAUGCGUAGAGAUGUGGAGGAAUACCGAUGGCGAAGGCAGCCCCCUGGGCCAAUACUGACGCUCAUGCACGAAAGCGUGGGGAGCAAACAGGAUUAGAUACCCUGGUAGUCCCACGCCCUAAACCGAUGUCAACUAGUUGUUGGGGAUUCAUUUCCUUAGUAACGUAGCUAACGCGUGAAGUUGACC